AGACACAUUUCCUUGGAAGACGUCUGUUCUAAAAGGGGCAGUCGAGUACUGAGAAGUAUAUAAAAACCGACCGGCCCCAGGGUAGAUGUUCAUUGUUAUUACUUCUAGUUCCUCACCAUUGAUUUGCUUGUGGUUUUAAAUACAUAUUGUAGAUACUGAAGCGUUGUGGAAUGAAGCCGUCCCUGGGAAACGUGCACAACAGCGGCCACCUGGUUUGGUAGAAAACGUGCACAUCUUCACGUCUUUGCUACAGCUAGUCACUGUUGUACAAGCCAAUUUUUUUGAUGAGUAAUGCACUCACUGGUCUGGGCACUUGUCCAGCUCCCAGCUCUCCCACACACACACACACAGAGAGAGAGAGGAAGAAUGACAGAUGGGGCACGUAGAAUAUUUAUUUUCCCUGUUUGAGUAAAAACAUAAUAUGGACGUGUCAUCGUGAGCAAGACCUACUUUAUUAGAUAGCCGUUGUGUUCUAAUGAAGAAAAUCUUGAUUAAAAACAUUUUUAUAUUUUAGAAUUCCAACAAUAAAUAAAAUUACUUUCUCAGUCACUGGGUUCACUCAUUGUAAAUACAUGGGUCUGCAAAAUUACUCGGUGUGCCCAUCUUCUGAGCCCUCUGGUACAACUCAUUGUCUCCAAAAUAGCGAGCUCGAUACAGCAGGCCCUCCUCUGGAACACAACAACAAAAGUACAACGGCUCAGUCCCCAAUAUUUCCCAGAAGUCUGCGCUCCCUGUCGUGGAUUUAAAAGCAUAUGAUUGUUGUAAGCAUUGUCUGGAGUGAGUUUCCACUAUCGUUAAAUCCAUGCACAAAACUGAGCAAGUGGACACCUUGGGAGAAGAACUGUGAUGUAGUCUAAGACAAACGCCUACUUGGGCAUCCAGUACAAUACAAGUUAAAUAAGAUAACAGGAAGUACAAUACAAGUUAAAUAAGAUAACAGGAAGUACAAUAGAGGCUGAAAAGAGGAUCCUAAUUCCUUUGCAUUUUGCCCAGACAACCAAUCAUCUGAAUGAUGUGUUGUAAUGUAAAACUGCUGUGUGUCUUUCCCCCUGCCAUGGAAACAGCGGUGGCUGGCACUUUAAAAUAGGAGGACAGGCUCAUAGUAAUGUCUGGAACAGAAUAAAUGGAAUUGUACCAUUCCUAGGGUUUGAGAAAAUCCGCAAUGAUGAGAAUGAGGACGGAAUCACGGAAUCCAGACAUUAAAACGGAAUCCAACAAUGUACUAAACUUAGUAGGGAAUCAAAUAAAUUAAUUGAAAAUUAAGUUUAUCAUAAGACAUGAACAGAAUGAAUCAGUGAUUGGUAUUUCCUGCAACUUUCUGAAGAGCCAAUGAGAAUUCCCCGUCUGUAUGUGUGGUGUGUCGCCGCUAGCGAUGAUCUUUCUGGACAUGGGAAAUCCUUUCCUUAUCCAAAAUCCUUCUCACAUUAAAUGUCAUCUAGGAAGUAGGCUAUGCUGACCUGGCAGAACCAUAUGAGGAUGAUUAUUGUGGCUAUUUGGUUUUACAAAAACACCUCUAAAACAAACAGCCUCAGUACACUGGAAUUAAAAUGGUAACUACACCCAAACAUGAUCAACAUUAUCCCAG
rnacentral:lncRNA from 13 species